rnacentral:rRNA from 1 species
ACAAAGGGAUGCCUCAGUAACGGCGAGUGAAGCGGCAAAAGCUCAAAUUUGAAACCCUCGGGAUUGUAAUUUGAAGAUUUGGCAUUGGAGAAAGCUAACCCAAGUUGCUUGGAAUAGUACGUCAUAGAGGGUGACAACCCCGUCUGGCUAACCGUUCUCCAUGUAUUGCCUUAUCAAAGAGUCGAGUUGUUUGGGAAUGCAGCUCAAAGUGGGUGGUAAACUCCAUCUAAAGCUAAAUACUGGUGAGAGACCGAUAGCGAACAAGUACUGUGAAGGAAAGGUGAAAAGAACUUUGAAAAGAGAGUGAAAUAGUAUGUGAAAUUGUUGAUAGGGAAGGAAAUGAGUGGAGAGUGGCCGAGGUUUCAGCCGCCCCUCGUGGGCGGUGUACUGCCGACGCCGAGUCAUCGAUAGCGAGACGAGGGUUACAAAUGGGAGCGCCUUUCGGGCGUUCUCCCCUAACCCUCCACACUGCCACCGACGACAUAAUCCACCCAUUUCACCCGUCUAAAACCCAGGACCAAA